rnacentral:rRNA from 1 species
AAUGAACGCUGGCGGCGUGGUUAAGACAUGCAAGUCGAACGGUUUUUAGUGAAGGGCAACCGGAUCUAAAAGCAGUGGCGAACGGGUGCGUAACACGUGAACAAUCUACCUCCAAGUGGGGAAUAGCUCGGCGAAAGCCGGAUUAAUACCGCAUGUGGUGGUUUCUCGCAUGAGAGACUGACUAAAGACAGGGACCGCAAGGGCCUGUCGCUAGGAGAGGAGUUCGCGGCCUACAGCUAGUUGGCGAGGUAACGGCUCACCAAGGACUAAGACGAGUAGCUGGUCUGAGAGG